UACGAGAGGCCCAAACGUUAUUCGGAAUUACUGGGCUUAAAGAGUUCGUAGGCGGCGCAACAAGUGGGGUGUGAAAGCCCUCGGCUCAACCGAGGAAUUGCGCUCCAAACUGUUGUGCUUGAGGGACCUAGAGGUGAGCGGAACUGAUGGUGGAGCGGUGAAAUGCGUUGAUAUCAUCAGGAACACCGGAGGCGAAGGCGGCUCACUGGGGGUCUUCUGACGCUGAGGAACGAAAGCCAGGGGAGCGAACAGG
rnacentral:rRNA from 1 species